rnacentral:rRNA from 1 species
UAAGUAGAUAGUGAAAUCUGGGGGCUCAACCUCACAGGCUAUUAUUCGAACUCACUGACUCGAGAACAGCAGAGGUAACUGGAAUUUCUGAAGUAGGGGUAAUAUCCGUAGAUAUCAGAAGGAACACCAAUGGCGUAGGCAGGUUACUGGGCUGUUUCUGACACUGAGGCACGAAAGCGUGGGGAGCGAACCGGAUUAGAUACCCGGGUAGUCCACGCCGUAAGCGAUGGAUACUA